rnacentral:lncRNA from 1 species
CACCAAUUGAAAUGCAGAAAAUAGUAUGAUGAAGAUCUUAUUUGUUUGUUUCACAAAAGGCUUAGACUUUCAAGGAGUGAAACUGAAAACCUUGUUGAAAGUUAACACUUCUUCCUCCCUUCAUCCCUAUUCAGCCACAUGGUUUGAGCACAGAUGAUGCUUUAGACACCGGGACCACAAGAGUUGGUGAGGAAAAGAUCCCUUGUUUCCAGAUUGAGGGUAGCAGUCCAGAAAAGCAGACUGACCUGGGGGCAUGAACGACAACCAACCACGAUGUGGACUACCAGUAAACUGACAGCAGAAUUGAGUGUCAAGAUGCUUUUCAACUGUUUUUUGAAAAAGACACCUCUGAAGCUUGCUCUCCAUAAAAGAGAGAGAUCACAAGCAGGCGGAGAGGCAGGCAGAGAGAAGAAGGGAAGCAGGCUCCCCACCGCCGAGCAGAGAGCCCAAUACAGGACUCAAUUGCAGGACUCAAUCCCAGCACCCUGA